rnacentral:tRNA from 1 species
GCCAGCCUAGCUCAAUUGGUAGAGCAACUGACUUGUAAUCAGUAGGUUGGGGGUUCAAGUCCUCUGGCCGGCACCA